GUGCAGCAGUUACGAAAAUUUCGCAAUACGCGAAAGCGUGACGGAGCCAUCCCGAGUGCCGUCCGCUGAGGAUGGCUUUUCCCCAGUGUAGAUAGCUGGGGGAAUAAGGAGAGGGCAAGUCUGGUGUCAGCCGCCGCGGUAAUACCAGCUCUUCGAGUGGUAGGGAUGUUUAUUGGGCCUGAAGCAUCCGUAGCCGGCUGGGAAAGUUUCCCGUUAAAUCCAGCGAUCCAAUCGUUGGAUUGCGGGGGAUACUUCUCGGCUUGGGGGUGAGAGAGGCCAACGGUAUUCUCGGGGUAGGGGUGAAAUCCUAUAAUCCCGAGAGGACCACCAGUGGCGAAGGCUGUUGGCUAGAACACGCCCGACGGUGAGGGAUGAAAGCUGGGGGAGCGAACCGGAUUAGAUACCCGGGUAGUCC
rnacentral:rRNA from 1 species